rnacentral:misc_RNA from 1 species
GAAAUGCGAUAAGUAAUGUGAAUUGCAGAAUUCAGUGAAUCAUCGAAUCUUUGAACGCACCUUGCGCUCCUUGGUAUUCCUUGGAGCAUAACUGUUUGAGUAUCAUGAAAUCUUCAAAGUAAAUCUUUUGUUAACUCAAUUGGUUUCUACUUUGGUAUUGGAGGUCUUUGCAGCUUCACACCUGCUCCUCUUUGUUCAUUAGCUGGAUCUCAGUGUUAUGCUUGGUUCCACUCGGCGUGAUAAGUUAUCUAUCGCUGAGGACACUGUAAAAGGUGGCCAAGGUAAAUGCAGAUGAACCGCUUCUAAUAGUCCAUUGACUUGGACAAUACUUUUAUGAUCUGAUCUCAAAUCAGGUAGGACUACCCGCUGAACUUAAGC